rnacentral:rRNA from 1 species
UUUUCCUGGUUCAGAUUGAACGUUGGCGGCAGGCCUAACACAUGCAANUCGAACGGUAAACAGGAUUNGCUUGNUAUUCGCUGACGAGUGGCGGACGGGUGAGUAAUGCUUGGGAACUUGCCUUUGCGAGGGGGAUAACAGUUGGAAACGACUGCUAAUACCGCAUAAUGUUUACGGACCAAACGGGGCCUUCGGCUCCGGCGCAAAGAGAGGCCCAAGUGAGAUUAGCUAGUUGGUAAGGUAAAGGCUUACCAAGGCAACGAUCUCUAGCUGUUCUGAGAGGAAGAUCAGCCACACUGGAACUGAGACACGGUCCAGACUCCUACGGGAGGCAGCAGUGGGGAAUAUUGCACAAUGGGGGAAACCCUGAUGCAGCCAUGCCGCGUGUGUGAAGAAGGCCUUCGGGUUGUAAAGCACUUUCAGUUGUGAGGAAAAGUUAGUAGUUAAUACCUGCUAGCCGUGACGUUAACAACAGAAGAA